rnacentral:rRNA from 1 species
AGAGUUUGAUCAUGGCUCAGAUUGAACGCUGGCGGCAGGCCUAACACAUGCAAGUCGAGCGGAUGAAGGGAGCUUGCUCCUGGAUUCAGCGGCGGACGGGUGAGUAAUGCCUAGGAAUCUGCCUGGUAGUGGGGGAUAACGUCCGGAAACGGGCGCUAAUACCGCAUACGUCCUGAGGGAGAAAGUGGGGGAUCUUCGGACCUCACGCUAUCAGAUGAGCCUAGGUCGGAUUAGCUAGUUGGUGGGGUAAAGGCCUACCAAGGCGACGAUCCGUAACUGGUCUGAGAGGAUGAUCAGUCACACUGGAACUGAGACACGGUCCAGACUCCUACGGGAGGCAGCAGUGGGGAAUAUUGGACAAUGGGCGAAAGCCUGAUCCAGCCAUGCCGCGUGUGUGAAGAAGGUCUUCGGAUUGUAAAGCACUUUAAGUUGGGAGGAAGGGCAGUAAGUUAAUACCUUGCUGUUUUGACGUUACCAACAGAAUAAGCACCGGCUAACUUCGUGCCAGCAGCCGCGGUAAUACGAAGGGUGCAAGCGUUAAUCGGAAUUACUGGGCGUAAAGCGCGCGUAGGUGGUUCAGCAAGUUGGAUGUGAAAUCCCCGGGCUCAACCUGGGAACUGCAUCCAAAACUACUGAGCUAGAGUACGGUAGAGGGUGGUGGAAUUUCCUGUGUAGCGGUGAAAUGCGUAGAUAUAGGAAGGAACACCAGUGGCGAAGGCGACCACCUGGACUGAUACUGACACUGAGGUGCGAAAGCGUGGGGAGCAAACAGGAUUAGAUACCCUGGUAGUCCACGCCGUAAACGAUGUCGACUAGCCGUUGGGAUCCUUGAGAUCUUAGUGGCGCAGCUAACGCGAUAAGUCGACCGCCUGGGGAGUACGGCCGCAAGGUUAACACUCAAAUGAAUUGACGGGGGCCCGCACAAGCGGUGGAGCAUGUGGUUUAAUUCGAAGCAACGCGAAGAACCUUACCUGGCCUUGACAUGCUGAGAACUUUCCAGAGAUGGAUUGGUGCCUUCGGGAACUCAGACACAGGUGCUGCAUGGCUGUCGUCAGCUUGUGUCGUGAGAUGUUGGGUUAAGUCCCGUAACGAGCGCAACCCUUGUCCUUAGUUACCAGCACCUCGGGUGGGCACUCUAAGGAGACUGCCGGUGACAAACCGGAGGAAGGUGGGGAUGACGUCAAGUCAUCAUGGCCCCUUACGGCCAGGGCUACACACGUGCUACAAUGGUCGGUACAAAGGGUUGCCAAGCCGCGAGGUGGAGCUAAUCCCAUAAAACUGAUCGUAGUCCGGAUCGCAGUCUGCAACACGACUGCGUGAAGUCGGAAUCGCUAGUAAUCGUGAAUCAGAAUGUCACGGUGAAUACGUUCCCGGGCCUUGUACACACCGCCCGUCACACCAUGGGAGUGGGUUGCUCCAGAAGUAGCUAGUCUAACCGCAAGGGGGACGGUUACCACGGAGUGAUUCAUGACUGGGGUGAAGUCGUAACAAGGUAGCCGUAGGGGAACCUGCGGCUG